GACAGAGGGUGCAAACGUUGUUCGGAAUUACUGGGCGUAAAGCGCGUGUAGGCUGCUUCGCAAGUCGGAUGUGAAAGCCCUGGGCCUCAACCCAGGAAGUGCAUUCGAAACUGCAGAGCUGGAGUCCUGGAGAGGAAGGCGGAAUUCCUCGGUGUAGAGGUGAAAUUCGUAGAUAUCGAGAGGAACACCGGUGGCGAAGGCGGCCUUCUGGACAGUGACUGACGCUGAGACGCGAAAGCGUGGGGAGCAAACAGG
rnacentral:rRNA from 1 species